GAAUGGGGGGGGUGCGGGGAGAGCUAGCUUCUCUUCUGGCGCCGUCCUCCUUCCUUCUUCCGAAUCACCCGCCACGGCUUCUUUCCCAGCCUGCUUUCCGGACCCUGCCUGCAAGACUGUGUCUGGCGCCUGUGCCUCCAAGGGGCGUUCUCAGGUAGCUCUGGGGCCUGUGGUCAUCUUGUGACAUUGGGCAGUACCACCGGGAGAAAGCACCUGCCUCUCUAUUCAGAGACCACUGCGUGCAAAGCUGAAUGCAAACAACAAAGGCUUCCACUCUGGCGGCGGCUGCGUGAUUUUCUUGGAACUUGCCAUUAUGUUUCAGGUCAGAGAUUGAGGUUCCGCGCAGCACACGGACCUUUUAAUAUCAGGUCCUCCAUGGAUGUAAAUUAAACUUCAAAGAUGCUUAGGAAUAAAAAAAAAAAAAUCUUGUGCUAUCACAGUCAAAAUCAACACCAGGGGUAGAGAGAUAUUCAACUGAGUGACUAUAUCAUGAAUGUCAUCAUCUUUAUCAAAUAACUGGUGUGCACAGCUAUGCCAUAUAAAGACUCAAAGUGGAAGCUAUAAGAGGAAAAACUGAUUGUAUCACCAUUUAAUGUAAACAUUUUAAAAACAGAAAUUAAACAUUUUUAUGGAUCUCUAGGUUCUUUUAAUGGGGAUGGAUUGCCUUGGUAAAAAAAUUGUAGCGAUGUGACAUCUAAAAAUACAGAAUAGUUUAGGCACACUAGAAAUCAAAACAGAUCCUAUUGCUAUUUUUCAUGGGGAAAUCCCCUGCAACAUUUCCACAUGCUGCUGAGGAUAUUCAGAAUUCCACAGUCUGGGAAGGAAACAUUCCUCUAUCUUUGCGGGCCACUCUCGGGUCACUGAAUACUGCAUCUUACCCAGUCAAAUGGUCUUGUUUGUCCGGCACCAUCUUCGCAGUCUGUGCAUGAUUUCACAUCCUUAGUCAGACCUCCCCUUCUUCACCAGAAUUCUCCCUGUUUCACUGCAUGGUGACCACUCCAACCUCCAGUUGCAUUCACUCUGCUUCUCCAUGCGUAUCCUCCCGGUGGUCACCCGAGGUCUCAGCUCCUCUUUCCUCCACUUCCCACUCCCUCUCACCUGUGAGGGCGCUGUGCUCCAUGUGACCGGCUGUGUCCUGGUCUUCUCCUUCCGGCUGCGCUUCCCUGGGACUGCUACCUGCUGGCUCCAUUAGGUUUGGCCACGUGGAGACCCUAGCUGAAGGUGCCAAAGCAAGGCUAGAGAUAAGGAUGGAGAAAGUCGGGUGUUUCUCUCCUUCCCUUUCUCCACUGGGGAGCCAGCUCUUCUGUCCCCAUUGGAGGUGGAUGUUUAAGAUGGCUUCAUUCAAGUGGCAACUGGCCCUGGGGGCUGGGCGGGUGCGUGCCACGGGACUCCAGUCUUCCAGCAGCCUAGAUGCAGCUUCUUUUCAGCAUGGUGGCUUGGAGUUUUCAUGAGGGCCAGCCAGGAGCUAUGGGCCUCUUACCUAGAGUGGCCAGAGUGUCACAGUCACAUGUUCUAUGGACCAGCACAAGUCACAAGGCCAGCCCUCCUUCAGUGGGAAGAUGAAGUGGACCAAGCCUUCAAGCUUUGCCUCUGGAAGAAAAGAAGAGGAAUAUUCCAUUGCAAAGGGGAUGGGAAAGAGCUCUGGCCCUCUGAAGACCAUUCCUGUCCCAGGCGCUGGAGCUCUAAGAGCAACACCGAGCUCCUGCACAACCUGCACAGUCCUUCC